AAGAGGACAAUUAGGAAACUGGACCUUGAAAUAAAAAAACUUGAGAGGGAGCUCCAAGAAGAUGACACAGCUCAAAAUAAAAAUUAGCGAUCAGUACAACCAAGUCAUCGUUAUAAGGCAUCGCCCUCUUUUGCCCACCCCCCCAGCACCAGGUGUGGCCACUAGCCUAUAUGAAGGCCCAAAAUUGUGUGUUCCUUUCUGCUCUGACAAUGGCAUG